rnacentral:rRNA from 1 species
AAACUGGGAUUAGAUACCCCACUAUGCCUAGCCCUAAACAUUGAUAGAAUUUUACAACCUCUAUCCGCCCGGGGACUACAAGCAUCAGCUUGAAACCCAAAGGACUUGGCGGUGCUUUAGAUCCACCUAGAGGAGCCUGUUCUAGAACCGAUAACCCCCGUUCAACCUCACCCCUCUUUGUUAAUACCGCCUAUAUACCACCGUCGUCAGCUUACCCUGUGAGGGACCAAUAGUAAGCUUAACUGGUAUAACCCUAAACGUCAGGUCGAGGUGUAGCGUAUGGAGGGGAAAGAAAUGGGCUACAUUCGCUACAACAGCGAACACGAAUGAUGUCCUGAAACGUACAUCUGAAGGAGGAUUUAGCAGUAAGUAGAAAAUAGAGUGUUCUACUGAAAUUGGCCCUGAAGCGCGCACACACCGCC